rnacentral:rRNA from 1 species
UCCCCGGUUGACUUCUCCGCAUGGGGGUUGGUGGAAAGCUCCGGCGGUGCAGGAUGAGCCCGCGGCCUAUCAGCUUGUUGGUGGGGUAAUGGCCUACCAAGGCGACGACGGGUAGCCGGCCUGAGAGGGCGACCGGCCACACUGGGACUGAGACACGGCCCAGACUCCUACGGGAGGCAGCAGUGGGGAAUAUUGCACAAUGGGCGAAAGCCUGAUGCAGCGACGCCGCGUGAGGGAUGACGGCCUUCGGGUUGUAAACCUCUUUCAGCAGGGAAGAAGCGCAAGUGACGGUACCUGCAGAAGAAGCACCGGCUAACUACGUGCCAGCAGCCGCGGUAAUACGUAGGGUGCGAGCGUUGUCCGGAAUUAUUGGGCGUAAAGAGCUCGUAGGCGGCCUGUCGCGUCGGAUGUGAAAGCCCGGGGCUUAACCCCGGGUCUGCAUUCGAUACGGGCAGGCUAGAGUGUGGUAGGGGAGAUCGGAAUUCCUGGUGUAGCGGUGAAAUGCGCAGAUAUCAGGAGGAACACCGGGGGCGAAGGCGGAUCUCUGGGCCAUUACUGACGCUGAUGAGCGAAAGCGUGGGGAGCGAACUGGAUUAUAUACCCUGGUAGUCCACGCCGUAUACGUUGGGAACUAAGAACUGGCGACAUUCCACGGUCUUCCGGUGCCGCAGCUAACGAUUAAUUUCCCCGCCUGGG